rnacentral:rRNA from 1 species
UUGGAGGGCAAGUCUGGUGCCAGCAGCCGCGGUAAUUCCAGCUCCAAUAGCGUAUAUUAAAGUUGUUGCAGUUAAAAAGCUCGUAGUUGAAUUUCGGGGUUCUACCGUUGGUCGGGCUUUGUCUGUACUGGUGUGUAGAAUUUCUACCUUCUGGGGAACCAUCAUGCUAUUAAUUUAGCGUGGUGGGAAACCAGGACCUUUACCUUGAAAAAAUUAGUGUGUUCAAAGCAGGCUUAUGUCUGAAUACAUUAGCGUGGAAUAAUAGAAUAGGACGGUGGUCCUGUUUUGUUGGUUUCUGAAUCACCGUAAUGAUUAAUAGGGAUAGUUGGGGGCAUUAGUAUUCAAUUGUCAGAGGUGAAAUUCUUGGAUUUAUUGAAGACUAACUUCUGCGAAAGCAUUUGCCAAGGAUGUUUUCAUUAAUCAAGAACGAAAGUUAGGGGAUCGAAGACGAUCAGAUACCGUCGUAGUCUUAACCAUAAACUAUGCCGACUAGGGAUCGAACGAUGUUAAUUUUUCUUGACUCGUUCGGCGCCUUACGGGAAAC